rnacentral:lncRNA from 1 species
CCCAAUUGCACAAAGAAAGUCACAAUUCACAACCCAUAAAAGGAUAGUUCAUCUGGUAGGCAAAAAUCAGGAAGAGAUUAGUUCAUCUGUUAGGCAAUAAUCAGGAAGAGGAUGGUGAGAGCCAAUUCAACAAAAUUGUGGAUAUCAUGUGCUUAGGCAAAUGAACAAAACUCGUGAGGAUGUCCUUAAAUCCCAUUACCAGUUACCUACCUCUAUGGUUCUGUUAUCUUCUCCCAUGUGAUUUUCCUGAACCUCAGGUCUGUUUCAACUGUCCCCACUUAUGCUAGAUAAAGCUUCAUAAUAGCAUCCUAUAUACAUAACAUAUAUAUCAGGACCAGCUAAGCGGAUGCUACCAAACAGUUUGGCCGACGAGUUUGAAGUUUGGAUAUUAU